rnacentral:tRNA from 1 species
GAGGAUAUAGCUCAGUGGUAGAGUACAUGCCUAGCAGGCACGAGAUCCUGGGUUCAAUCCCCAGUAUCUCCA